UUUUUUUUUUUGGUAGAGAACGAGUCUCACUAUUUUGCCCAUGCUGGUCUUGAACUCCUGGGCUCAAGCGAUCCUCCCACCUCAGCCUCCCGAAAUGCUGGGAUUACAGGUGUGAGCCAGGGUGCCUGGCACUGUCUAUUUCUUACUGUCUCUCUCCGCCUGUCUGAUGAUCUUUGUCUCCCUGUUUCUCUCGUUCCCUCCCUGACUCUCAGUCAGUUUACCUCUCUGUCUCUCUGUCUGCUUCUGACAGUGUCUCCCUCUCUGUUUCUCUUGGCCUCUUGAAUUCUCUGUCUCUGAACAUGUGUGUCUGUCUCUCUUUCUCCAGGAUAAAGAAUGCUGGCCUCGGUGGGCACCCACAGUCCCUGCAGUUGGACUACCCUGCUCCCAGCUCCCAUAAAUAGUUUGGCUGAUACCUUGAGGACUAAAGAAGUGCAUGGUGGGGCACUAGUCCCAGUGGGGCUCCUCAUCUCCUGUCAUGACCCCCUCAGGGACUGGGACUGGUACUCUCUCAGGGACUGGGUUUCGAUUGUCCCUAAUCUUGUCGCAUGUUAGAGCACUUGCAUGUGCACAUUUGCGCACACACACAUGCACACACGCACACGCGCGCACGCGCACACACACGUGCGCGCCUUUCACUUGCUCCUCCGUAGUGGCAGAAAUCAGACCCAUUGUACAGAUGGGGAAGUUGAGGUUCAAAAGAUACAGCCACCCACCCAGGGCCACACUGUGAUUAGAGGCCCUCUGACUCCUGGACCUUUACACCCAUCUAUAGGAGGAUGGCCAGACCUGGUUGGUGAAAUUGAAGUACCCCCACUCCCACUCAAGGCCAGGUCCUCUAGGUAUGGGAGACCUGUCUGAGGAGGAACCUGGUAGGACUCCACAGCCUCCCAGAGGGCACAUCCUGCUCAGGUGACCUCAGCGAGGGUCUCACCUCCAAACCAGUCCAAACCCAAGGGACCUUUCAGAAGUUCCCCAUCACCUUCCCCAAAGACGAGGCACAGCUGCAUUUGAAUCCUCUUCCAGUGCUGGCAAAUUACCUUCUGCAUUUAGCCUGAGUCGCUCAUACAGGAAAGUGCCCUCAGGCCCCAGACUCUGGGCCUGGCUGGGGAAACUAAUAAUGCCCAUGCCCAGGCAGUACUUACCAUGAGCUGGGCAGCAUACUAGGGAAUCUUUAACUCAUUUUCAUUUCCACUUUAAGAGGUUGCCGAUGUUAUCCUCAUUUUUCAGUUGGGAAAACUGAGGUACAGAGUGUUUAAGUAACUUGCCAAGCUUACACAAAGCUGGUGGUAUAUACUGAUGGCAUAAACAAAGUAGAUUUGGUUCUAAUAUGUCUGUGUAUAUAUUUAUAGGGACAAAUAUGGAUAUAUAUGUAUAGGUGUGUGAUAUAUAUGUAAAUAUCUCUAUAGAUGAAUAUAGACGUAUACGCGUGUGUGUUUGUUAGUAUUGCUAUUGUUAUUGUAGUUACAGUUUUUGGCUUAAUCUGUUUGAAUAAUGGACUGAUUCUUGAGCACGUUUCUGUUCCUCUAGAGCUUUGUGAUCUUUUUCCCUACAGGGGCAUUGGGAAUCUGGGGAAUGGACCUUAGGACCUUAUAGAAGUUGUGUUUUUCCACCUUUUGAUCUGAUGAGCAGCUAAGAGAAGCCUCUCUUCUCCACUUCCCCAACCAUGCUGGCUCCAAGUGCCCCCUAGGCCAGGCCCUUGAAGGAAAAAUCAAACCCUAAAUUUGAAGGUUACUGAAGCUGUCCCUCCACCCCCUGUCAAUUUACCAAGAGAGGGUUGGAGGAAAAGUAACCCCUUCACAACAACGUCCAGAGAUGUGUGUGGCCCUUGGUCAGGAACCAAAAUGGUUCUGUUAUCUCAUGUAAUCCUUAUAACAACAAGAGAAGAUAGGUGCUAUUAAGAUUUCAAACCCAGGUCUACUCCAAGCCCCUGGCUCAUGAGGAUCUCUAGGUGACUUCUCUGUUCUCUGCCCUCUGCUCAUGCCAAUAUCAUUGAAGCAUAAUGGGAAGUUACCUACUGCCUCCUAAUGAGUCGAUUUACCAGUCUGUAAAAUGGGCAUAAUGUUGCCGCUUCUCCCUGGGGCCUUGUGAGGAUUAAAUGUGGGGAAGCAGGUGCUCCCAGAAAGUGUAGUUUAGACUGUGUCCUCUCCUGGCACUAUCUUUCUCUGUCCUACCCUUCAUCUACUUGUUCCUCCCAGUAUCACCCAUCCAUCCCUUCCUCCACCUCCACCCCAGCUCCCCGAGUCAAUAUUCAUAAAAAUAACUAAGUUGUCAAAAUGUGACCUGCAGCAUCCUGGGCGAUUCUUUCUUUCUGGCUGGUGCCUUGGGUCUCCUGGGCAGGCAGGUCCCUAUGUCCCCCAGUCCCCCAUCUUGGGGACAGCUUGGCGGGACCUCAACUCACCGUCCCCUGCUCAGCUGUGGAUGCCCUUCUGACUGCCCUCACCCCUCACUUGGCUCUGGUUCCCCAGUGCACCCAGCUGGGAUGUUUCCCUGCUGGAGCCUUCUGCUAGGCUGGAGUGGGGUGAUGUGGAGGGGGGACAGACAGCCAACGUGGCUGCACAGCAUCCUCCCCCUGGAGAGAGAAAGCCCCCAGCCAGGCCUGCUGUGGGUUAGAUAAGGAGCGCAAGCCAUGCAGCUUGUCCUCUUUUUUGUAAUCUCCUCCUCCACCUCCACCGCUCCCUGCCACCGACUCCCCCACUUUUUUUUUAUAUCAUCUUUAUGGCUUUGGAAUGAUCUGGGCUGACACUGCGUUCACUUAGCCAAGGGCAGGUGGGGUCACAGGAGACAACUUACUCCUACGUGUAUAUAUUCAUGGGGGCCGAUAAGGGAGCAGCCCCACCCCCUCCUCCCUAGCGGGGAAGAGAGAAUAAGGAGACUGGCUGGAGGAGAGGUUGGGGACAUGGUGACAACCAGUUCAGGGCAGAAAACAGAUUUUGAGCGCCAGAAACCCUGCGGUGGCAGAGGCGAGCUCUCAGGGAGCUGUGGCCAAACCUCUGAUGGGGAGAAUCAUGUAAGGUCGAAAGAAGCACUGAUUGGCAAAGGAGCUGAGUUUUUAAACUUAUUAUUUUCUUUCUUUCUUUCUUUCUUUCUUUCUUUCUUUCUUUCUUUCUUUCCCUCUCUCCCUCCCUCCCUCACUCCCUCCCUCCCUUCCUUCCUUCCUUCCUUUCUUUCCUUCCUUCCUUCCUUCUUUCCUUCCCUCCUUUCCCUUCUCCUUCUUCUUCUUCUUCUUUUUUUUUUUUUUUAAAAGAUGGAGUCUCUCUAUGUUGCCCAGGCAGAACUCGAACUCCUGGGCUCAAGUGAUCCUUCUGCCUUGGCCUCCAGACUAGCUCUGCCUAACUAGAUGAACUGAAUUUUAUCUCUAAAUAUUCUUUUCUUCCUUCCCCGCUCCCUCGCUCCCUUCUUUCCUUCCCCCUGCCUCCCUCUCUCCCUUCCUUCCUUCCUUCUUUCCUUCCUUCCUUCCCUCCCUCUCUCCUUCCUUCCCUCCCUCUCUCCUCUCUCUCCUUCCUUCCUUCUCCCCUCCAUCCUUCCUUCCUUCCUUCCUCUUCCUUCCUUCGCUCCCUCCCUCCCUUCCUCCCUCCCCCUCCCUCCCUCCUUUCCUUCCUUCCUUCCCUCCCUCUCUCCUUCCUUCCUUACCUCUCUCCUCUCUCUCCUUCCUUCCUUCUCCCCUCCAUCCCUCCUUCCUUCCUUCCUCUUCCUUCCUUCGCUCCCUCCCUCCCUUCCUCCCUCCCCCUCCCUCCCUCCUUUCCUUCCUUCCUUCCUCCCCUUCCUCCCUCCUUCCUUCUUUCCCUUCUUCCUCCUUCCCUCCCUCAAACAGUAGACCUUGAGUUUCAGGACACGGUUUUAGUUGUUACCUGGUUCGAGCCUGGCUUUUGCAGGCUGUGUGACACUGGGAAUACAGAUAUGUUCACAGCGCUCAAAAGAAAAGUGAUACUGAACUUAUGAAGCAGAUAAAUUAGGGGUGAUUAUUCUCAUUACAAAAGGAUACACUACAGGGAUUCUUUAAGUGAAUGUUAGCCAAGGACAGAGACUGGGUCUGUCUUCACUGUUGGCUUCUCAGCCCCUUACAUGGGAACUGGCACUUAGGAGGGGCUCAGCAGGUUCUCUCUCUGUCACCCAGGCUGGAGUGUAGUGACUCAAUCAUAGCUCAUUGCGGCCUCAAACUCCUAGACUCAAGUGAUCCUCCCACCUCAGCCUCCCAAGUAGAUGGAACUACAGAGACAAGAUCUCACAAUGUUGCCCAAGCUGGUCUUGAACUCCUGGCCUCAAGUGAUCCUCCUGCUUCAGCCUCCUGAGUUGCUGGGAUUACAGGCGUGAGCCGCUGCACCCAGCUUUAGUCAACCAAGACAGCAGCAAUGCAAAACAAAAUGAAGGCGCUCAGAGAGACACAGGGGACAUGCCGAGGAGCCCUGGAGGAAGGGGAGAAUUAUUCUGAUGGGAGAGAUCUGGAAGGACGAGGCUGGAGUGAGAUGGAAUGGUGGAACAGCAGGCAGGGGAUUGCGCUUGCUGGUACCUGGUUCUGGGAGCGGGGGCUGGGUCUUUUCUUUCAGGUUCCUCUCGUUUGGAAUUGAUUCUGAUGCUCCUAAAAGAUGGUUCACCUGAUCCCCUUGAAAUGAUCAUACUGAAGUAGGUGCCAGAGGGGACCAAUAGUUACCAAGAACUUACCAUGUGCUGGACCUACAUAAAAUAUUUCACUUGUGCUGCUUGACUUAAUCUUCACAUUGGCUGAUGCCAGCCAAGUGAUGGUAUCCUAAUUUCAGGGAUUCGGAAACAGGCCCAGAGAGGUUGUGACUUUUCUAAGCACACACAGCAAAUAAAUGCUGAGGCUGGGAUUUGAACUCAA